CAGAUUUUUUUACGGAACAAUAUAUAUAUCUCCCUUCAUCUUUAUCUUAUAUUUUUUUAACCAAAAAAAGACAAUCACAACACACAACAUCAACAUCUCUCACGUGAACCCAUCUUCCUCAAAUACUUCCAUAGCUCAAUUCUCAUCAUCUAUUCCACUUUUCUUUUCAUUUUCCUACUACUUUUCUUUUAACUUCAUCACAUAAUCAACAUUAUUGUCAAUUCAAGCUUAGAAAGAAUAUUGGGUGAAAAGUGAAAGUACCCAUUCAUGGAGAGUUUGCUCUUUGAUGUUCCUUGAGAUUCGGUGGAAGUUGCUCCGGUGGCCGUUUCGGAAGGCGUUGCUAGGAACGGAGUUGCCUCUUCAUAGUUAUCCGCGAGUGGCAGGAUAGACCGUUCUUGAUAUUUGUAGAUUCCAGCAAGUACCCUCUUUUUGGUAGGCCCCUAUCUUUAACGGAGGCCGGUAUUUUGUGACUUCAGUAUGAUGCAGCUAUAUUUUGAGUAGAACUUGUUUAGAGGUCUUUAGGUGUAUGUAGUACUACAAGUUUGUAACGUUGCUAUAUGUAUAGCCACUAUCAUGGUGGAUAUGUGAAAUUUAGUAUAAUUAAGAACCUGCUGUUGGAACAUGUUUUGAUGUAAAUAGAUAAUGCAGGGAUAAAAAAAUGAAUAUUUUGGGAUUUUAAGAAAAACAAAGGAGACUUUGCCAAAAUUUUGGUAGAUUCUAGAGAUGUGAAUAUAUGUGUAUUUUUAUA